AAUAAAAUUUUAAAAUAUAUUUUGUUUUUAUAUUAUCUAUGAUUCUCAAUAUAUCUCUCUUUCCUUUUCCUCCCAGGGAUCCAAUCAUUAUGACAAAGAAUAAAAAAGGAGAAGGCAAAACAGUUCAAGAAAACUGGAAAACAUAUUUUUUAAAAUCUGAUAUAUGAAAUUUUCCAAAAUCAUAGUCACUUCACCUCAACAAGGAAGCAAGGGGAUGCAUCUUUUCUUAUCUUUUGGGGCCUUGGAAGAAGUAUGCAUGAAGAUUCUCUUUUUAGGUGGGAAUGGAAUGCCCACUUGAUGAAACCAUGGAAGCAGAGUCUUUUUGUUCCAGUAGAGAAAAAACCCUGGGACUAAUACUAUGAAGUUAAUAGAAAUUUCAUUUAUUCAACAGAUUUAUUUUACAUUGGGUCAAGUGGCCUUCUCUCCAUUGGGAGAUAAGUAAUGUUUAUAAUUAUUAAAUUGUUUCUCCUGGAUCUAUUUUCCAGAUCAGUUGUUUUUCCAAUGAGAUAUUUCAUAUUUUCUUUUUUUUCUUCUUUUCAUUUUGUUUUAUUGUUUCUUGAUGUUUUAUAAAAUCAUUAGCUUCCAUUUGCCCAGUUCUAAUUUUUAAAGACUGAAUUACUUCUAUGUCCUUUUGAUCCUCUUUUUCCACUUGGUUCAUUCUACUUUUCAUGGCACUCUUUUCUUCAGUGUGUGUGUGUGUGUGUGUGUGUGUGUGUGUGUGUUUGGCCUCAUUUUCCAGUAGGUCAAUUCUUUUAAAGAAAAAUAAACUCUUUUCUUAU
rnacentral:lncRNA from 1 species